rnacentral:rRNA from 1 species
UACAGAGGGGGCAAGCGUUAUUCGGAAUUACUGGGCGUAAAGGGCUCGUAGGUGGCCAACUAAGUCAGACGUGAAAUCCCUCGGCUUAACCGGGGAACUGCGUCUGAUACUGGAUGGCUUGAGUUUGGGAGAGGGACGCGGAAUUCCAGGUGUAGCGGUGAAAUGCGUAGAUAUCUGGAGGAACACCGGUGGCGAAGGCGGCGUCCUGGACCAACACUGACACUGAGGAGCGAAAGCCAGGGGAGCAAACGGG